GACGUAGGGCGCGAGCGUUGUCCGGAUUUAUUGGGCGUAAAGAGCUCGUAGGCGGCUUGUCGCGUCGACCGUGAAAACCCGCGGCUCAACCGUGUGGUCUGCAGUCGAUACGGGCAGGCUAGAGUUCGGUAGGGGAGACUGGAAUUCCUGGUGUAGCGGUGAAAUGCGCAGAUAUCAGGAGGAACACCGGUGGCGAAGGCGGGUCUCUGGGCCGAUACUGACGCUGAGGAGCGAAAGCGUGGGGAGCGAACAGG
rnacentral:rRNA from 1 species